rnacentral:sRNA from 1 species
GUUUAGUUUAAUGCCCUACAGUGUGUAAUAAUGUGUAUGUGCAUCAAUAAUUUUCUAAAAUUAGCCUUUUCACUAAUUGAUCACAGCCAGUUACAAAUUCCUUUGUUCCUUCUCCACUCCCACUGCUUCACUUGACCAGCCUUAA